CGAAGGGGGCUAGCGUUGUUCGGAAUUACUGGGCGUAAAGCGCGCGUAGGCGGCGACCUUUGUCAGAGGUGAAAUCCCGAGGCUCAACUUCGGAAUUGCCUUUGAAACGGGGUUGCUUGAGUCCGAGAGAGGAUGGCGGAAUUCCUAGUGUAGAGGUGAAAUUCGUAGAUAUUAGGAAGAACACCGGUGGCGAAGGCGGCCAUCUGGCUCGGUACUGACGCUCAGGCGCGAAAGCGUGGGGAGCAAACAGGAUUAGAUACCCUGGUAGUCCACGCCGUAAACUAUGAGUGCUAGUUGUUGGGGGGUUAACCCCUCAGUGACGUAGCUAACGCGUUAAGCACUCCGCCUGGGGAGUACGGUCGCAAGAUUA
rnacentral:rRNA from 1 species